UCCUGACUCACUCGUGACCUAACCCCCACCCCCAAACAUAAACCUAGAUCUAGGCCUCUAGCUGCUCUCUUCUCUCCGUCUCGCACUCUUGCUCUCUGCACUGGAGUCUCGAGCUCGAAGCCCUUCCUUCCACCACCUGGCAGCGCCGCCGAAGCCUUAUUCCCAGCGAGCACCGACCCAGCCGCGCUCUUCCCAGCAGCGCCGACCCAGCAACGCUCUUCCCAGCGAGUACCGACCCAGCAGCGCCGAAGCCUUCUUCCUAGUGACAGCGAGCACGGACCCAGCAGCGUUCUUCCCAGUAGCGUCGAAGAGAGGCUUUGCCACUCACCCUAGAAGCAUUGCAGAGAGGGUACGAAGAGCACGAAUUAGCGAAAGAAUCAAGAAAUUGCAAGGCCUUCUCUCGAAAUCUGACAAGUUCAUCCUGAAAGUUGAAAUCCUAUGUGGUCUGUAUCAAGGUAUAGGAUGCAUCCAGAGAUAUGCAAAUCCUCUUCACUGCAUUUUGAUGACAAUAAAGCAUAAAAUAGGAGCUAAUAAUGUAUAUUUGAUGGAUUGCUGUUGGUUGUUGACUUGUUUAUUUCAUUGUUGAUGCCUUGCUAGUUGUUCUGUUGAAUUACUGAAACUGCUUUUGUUUUGUUUUGUUUUGCUGUUCUGUUGAAUGACUGAAUUACUUUUGAGUUUUGAAGUGAUUUAGUAUGAUUUAUCAAGUGUCAGAGGUUUUGGAUCAAGUGUUUGAGGUUUUGAAUUACUGAAUUAUUGCUUGUAAAUUGAUUUUGUUGUUUAAUGUAUUUGUUUAGUAGGUUUGAUGUAUUGUUGAUUUCAAUUGUGUAUUUGUGUUUGUCGAUCUCAAAUGUAUAAGACUUUGUG